rnacentral:rRNA from 1 species
UCGUCACAUCCUGGGGCUGGAGAAGGUCCCAAGGGUUGGGCUGUUCGCCCAUUAAAGUGGCACGCGAGCUGGGUUCAGAACGUCGUGAGACAGUUCGGUCCCUAUCUGUUGUGGGCGUUGGAAAAUUGAGAGGAUCUGACCUUAGUACGAGAGGACCGGGUCGGACGCACCUCUGGUGUAUCUGUUGUGGCGCCAGCUGCAUCGCAGAGUAGCUAUGUGCGGAAUAGAUAAGCGCUGAAAGCAUCUAAGCGCGAAACUAGCCUCGAGAUGAGUUUUCCUUUAAGGGUCGUAGUAGACGACUACGUUGAUAGGCUACAGGUGUACAGGCAGUAAUGUCUUAGCCGAGUAGUACUAAUUACCCGUAAACUUACUAUU